rnacentral:lncRNA from 1 species
CCCGCCAGGAUGGACUAACGUAGGAAGCAAAGCUGCUGCUGCUGCUGCUGCUGCUGCUGCUGCUGCUGCUGCUGCUGCUGCUGCUGCAAUACUUCCCACCCUCUUCAGACACCCCUCCACCAGAGGGAAUUCUUCACUCCAGUCCGCUCAUAGCUACCUGGCUUACACAGGAGCUGUAGAGGCUCACUAGUGCAGUCUUGAUGAAAUGAACUUCUUGGACAAUGGGCAAUGGACAACUACAGAGAGGCCCUGGUGAGUGUCCAUGCAAGAAACAAUGUUAACAAAGGACACUAACUGGUCCACCUUGAUUUAAUAAAGUGAUUGCUCAAUGGCAGAUCAUAAAGCCGUCAUAACUUUUCAACCUAUUCAGAAAGUGGUUGGGCAUCAGCAUUACCAGGAUAUUGGUGGAAAUACUGGUCCUAAUCUUGGGAAUUUAGGGACAGUCUAGGCUAUACAACAAGACUUUAUCAAUAAUAAAAAUAAUAAUAAUAAUAAUAGUAAUAAAUGGUAAGUAAAAAGAAAUAAGAAAGAUUUAAACUUCAACAUGAUCUUUUAAAAUGCUGAUUAUAAGUUAUGAUUUGGAAGAUCUCUCCCAAAUCUGCGGAUCCUGGUUAAUACUAGUCUCAGAUGUCCUUUGCUAGCCUCUGGGAAAAGCAGAGCAGGGACCAAAUUCCCUCCACCAGUGUGCUCUCAAAGAUGGCGGCUGUGAUCACAAUCAGGACCAGCACACCCUUCAGCUAGAGGCCCCAGCCAUUUGUUCCAAGCUAGCUCUAUUGAAUGUUACUUUUCGGUUACUUCAGCUCCUAGGAAGACAUGUCUACUCCUAGAACACAGCACAGUUUAGCUUUAGAGGUGACUGACCUCAGUGCUGCUGGGAUCAGUCCCAAGGACAAAAUAGAGGAAGGCUGAGUCCUCUGAGUCCGUCUGCCCUGUGCGUCCUGAAGACCACAGCCUCUUAAAGAGCCAAGUCUAUUCGAGCCACUUCUCCAGAAUGAGACUGCUCACAAACCUUUGUUCUUGAAAACUACCAGAUCUCUGCCCUCUGGAACCAGCGUGGAGAUGGCACAGACAAGCCCUUUAUUCCCAUAAGACCCAGUAUCUCCCUCCAAAUAUGAAGACCAGUGAAACAAACACAGCCAGUCAUCCCAAUACAUAACCCAACAGACAAUCUGCUAAUGAAAUGGGAAAUAUGUAAUAACUGUGCUGUUUGUGCUUCUAUCUCUGAAGUGAGUUUAAUUCAACUCUACAUUGUGAAUAGGUAUUUAUGCUAUAGGAAGGACUCAGAGAUGGGAACAGAGAUAUUAGCGAGUCACUCUAUGCUCAGAACCCAUUUUUUCCUUUCUUUAUUGGCCAUGCCUAGUACAGUUCCCUGUCCUUCCAGUUCUGGCUCUUUAGUGAUCUAGGAUUUCCCCUUCCCCGGUUUCUUUGU